AUUGAACGCUGGCGGCAUGCCUUACACAUGCAAGUCGAACGGCAGCACGGGAGCAAUCCUGGUGGCGAGUGGCGAACGGGUGAGUAAUAUAUCGGAACGUGCCCAGUCGUGGGGAUAACGUAGCGAAAGCUACGCUAAUACCGCAUACGAUCUAUGGAUGAAAGCGGGGGAUCGCAAGACCUCGCGCGAUUGGAGCGGCCGAUAUCAGAUUAGGUAGUUGGUGAGGUAAAGGCUCACCAAGCCGACGAUCUGUAGCUGGUCUGAGAGGACGACCAGCCACACUGGGACUGAGACACGGCCCAGACUCCUACGGGAGGCAGCAGUGGGGAAUUUUGGACAAUGGCGCAAGCCUGAUCCAGCAAUGCCGCGUGCAGGAUGGAGGCCUUC
rnacentral:rRNA from 1 species